CAUUUGACUGUUCCCCCUGAUUUCUGCCACCUUCAAUUAGCCGUUGCUGCCUAUUUUUUGCCCAACGUUUCCGUUGGGCUAAGGACCUUUUAUUGCAGAGGUUAAGAGCACCAUGCUCCUGCGACACGCAAGAUAAGUUAUGAAGAAAUAUUACAGGGUUCAAUCAAUCAAAUAACAAUGGAUCUAAACAAUAAACAUCAAUAUUACGUUAACCCGAGGAGAGGAAACAUGUAAAUUUGGCUGAUUUUGUUCCACGCUCAGGCGUUUUGCACCAUGCUCCUGCAACACGCCAGAUAGCCAAAUAAUUAUUAAAACUAUGAACACCAGAUAAACUACGAAGAAAUAUUACAGGGUUCGAUCAAUCAAAUAACAAUGGAUCUAUACAAUAAAAAAUCAAUAUUACGUUAACAUGAGGAGAGGAAAUAUGUAAACUUGGCUGCAACUGUUCCACGUUCAUGCGUUUUUCUCUUUCCUUUUCCCAACGCUUCCGCUGUCCAAUUGACCUUUUACUGCUAAGGUUGAGAUAAGCAUCUUUUCAGGGCAUAUCUGCUUAUCAAAUUGCCGAAGGAUCUGUGUGAAAGGAAGUGUGUCAAAGUUUCGAGGUUUGCUGUCGAAUCUGUGUGAAAGGAAUUUAUCGUUUGAAUUAAUACAUGUAGCCCUGAUUUUUUGGGUCAAAGUCUUGAGGUUUGCUGUCGAAUCUGUCUGAAAUUGCUGCAGGAACUGUGUGAAAGGAAUUUAUCUUCAAUGAGUUUGAAUUAAUACAUGUAGCCCUGAUUUUUUUCA